rnacentral:rRNA from 1 species
GACGAACGCUGGCGGCGUGCCUAAUACAUGCAAGUCGAACGAAGCUGUUUUAACUGGUGCUUGCACCGACUUAAACAACUGAGUGGCGAACGGGUGAGUAACACGUGGGUAACCUGCCCCAAAGCGGGGGAUAACAUUUGGAAACAGAUGCUAAUACCGCAUAACCACAGAAACCACAUGGUUUCUACGUCAAAGAUGGUUUCGGCUAUCACUUUGGGAUGGACCCGCGGCGUAUUAGCUAGUUGGUAAGGUAAUGGCUUACCAAGGCAAUGAUACGUAGCCGAACUGAGAGGUUGAUCGGCCACAUUGGGACUGAGACACGGCCCAAACUCCUACGGGAGGCAGCAGUAGGGAAUCUUCCACAAUGGACGAAAGUCUGAUGGAGCAACGCCGCAUGAGUGAGGAAGGUUUUCGGAUCGUAAAACUCUGUUGUCAGAGAAGAACGUGUGCGAGAGUAACUGCUCGUGCAGUGACGGUAUCUGGCCAGAAAGCCACGGCUAACUACGUGCCAGCCGCCGCCGUAA